GAACACAGAUUGGAUGAUUAGAAUGGAAAAAGCAAGGGCAUUUAGAAGGGCUCUUUACAAGGCCUCAGUCGAUGGACAAUAUGAGGAAGUCAAAAGGCAUCUUUCCAGUGGAUGUGCAGUUGACGUAAAAGAUCAGUUUUUGUUGACACCAUUGCAUC